GGUUACUGUUGGUGUGUGACCAGUACCGGACAGAAGAUCCAGGGUACUGAGACUCCACCAGGCACUGCUCCAAUCAACUGCUAGCAACUGUUCCACCAAGGUGAAAGGCGUUGGAAUGAAGAUGUUCAAAGAAAACGAUGAAAUGAUUGACGGUUGUCUUUACUGUACUACAGGAACUGAUUCACAUCCCAUAUAAACAGAUUAAAUGGUUGAAUUACUUA